UACGUAGGCAGCGAGCGUUGUUCGGAAUUACUGGGCGUAAAGAGUGUGUAGGCGGUGCUCUAAGUUCGGUGUGAAAUCCCCCGGCUUAACCUGGGAACUGCGUCUGAUACUGGAGGGCUUGAGUAUGGGAGAGGGAUGUAGAAUUCCAGGUGUAGCGGUGAAAUGCGUAGAUAUCUGGAGGAAUACCGGUGGCGAAGGCGGCAUCCUGGACCAUUACUGACGCUGAGGCGCGAAAGCUAGGGGAGCAAACGGG
rnacentral:rRNA from 1 species